AUUGUAUCAAACAAGAAUCAAGAAUGGAGACCAGUACGGGCAUUGCAAAGACUGAUGGAGCACAAAAUGUACAGAAAGUUGCAAAUUUUCUACCUAUAAAAUCAUUCUACAUUAAUGGAUGGAUUCAUUAAGCAUCUGCUGUUGGGAAUAUUCCUCCUGGAAACAACCAUCAGGCCUUGAAAAACCCAUGCACACCACUGCAGUUCAAGUUCAAGUGGAAUGCCCAUGCAAGAGACGGGAGAGCUGUGUUCCACUGGUGAAAUUCAAUACUGUAAUGUAGCUUUUAAGUAAAUGGUAAACCAAG
rnacentral:lncRNA from 1 species